rnacentral:rRNA from 1 species
AUAAGGAGUCGGACCUGCCCAGUGAAAUUUUUUAACGGCCGCGGUACUCUGACCGUGCAAAGGUAGCAUAAUCAUUUGCCUUAUAAUUGGAGGCUAGUAUGAAUGGUUUGACAAGAAUAUAGCUGUCUCUUUUUAAUUUAUUAGAAUUUUAUUUUAAGGUGAAGAAGCCUUAAUUCAAUUAAAAGACAAGAAGACCCUGUCGAGCUUUAAAAAAAUUAGCAGAGAUCACUUUAAUUAAAUUAAAAAAUUAUCUGUUAAAAAUUUUGGUUGGGGCGACUGAGGAACAAAAAAAGCUUCCUUUUAACAAUGAAAUAUAUAAAUUUUGAUCCAAAAGUUUUUGAUUAAAAAAAUUAGUUACCGCAGGGAUAACAGCAUUAUCUUUUUUAAGAGCUCUUAUCGAAAAAAAGGUUUGUGACCUCGAUGUUGGACCAGAAUAUCCUAAAGAUGCAGAAGUCUUUAAGGGUUGGUCUGUUCGACCAUUAAAAUUCUA